GUCCACAGCGACCAGCGAAAUCCAAACCACGCGAACAUGCCCUAGUGGACACAGCCGGUGAAACGGCACGCGCAAAUUAAUUGUCACUCCCCCACUGAAUAUCGGCAAAGCCGUGAUCUCCCAAGACACCAGUCACCUAAGCCUGGGGAGGCGCUGAGGUCUUCAUCGCCCAGUGAGCCUCAGAUCUCAAAACCGAUGUCUGAUACUGGAUUGAUUUCUAGGCCGCCUGAGAUGACACCUGAGAGUGUAGAGUCUUCUAUAGUGGACUACCUCAAGUGUCACCCCAAAAAAAAGCUUAUCUGUCAGAUCCUGAAACAAAAGGUACAGUAUGCCCUCCAUUUUGGUUCUCUGUCAUGUUGCAUAAGUCUAGUAGGCUAGUAAAUGCUAAGUAUUAAUUUUAACAUGUUUUUCCCCCUUGUAAAUAUGUUUGUUUCUAAGGUUGUGACAAUAAGCAAUCUAGAGGAGAUUGCUGAGUGGCUGGCCUUGGUCUCCAGUGAGGUCUAUACCCCUGCACUGUCUAUUCACCGGACCUCUUUCCAGGAUGGGCUGUCCCCCCCGAGCACGCCUGACACUGUCGAGGAGCUCCCGCAUCGUCUGGAGACCAAUCCAGCUAUGACAGGAGAAGGACAGUCCAGCAUGUUGCCAGAGGGGUUUGGGGACAGUGGCCAGGAGAAUCUCACAACUCCCAGGUCUGGGCAAAGCAGCAGCCGAAGCAGCCAGACGCCGAGCCCUCCCAGCUACUGGCGAGUGGCAGAGAUCACAGCCAGACAAAUCUUUGAUGCCAUUCUUCACCGGAUUCCAUUCAAGAGUGGCUCAGUGAUGGAUGCCAACAGGAUCCUCAGGGAGAAGAUCCGUUACUUUAGGAUUGAGCUCAUCCACCAGGUGUACAACCUGCUUCAAGACAGUACUGUUGAGAGGUGGCAACUGUCCCACAAGAGCAAAUCCAAGCCCACCUGGAAACACCUGGCCACCGUCCACACGGAGAAUGACUUCCUGUUGAAAGUAGAGCUUAUGUUCUCUGAGACUGCCAUUGAGCAUCUGCUGAUGGACUUAAUUGGAUAUUCCCUAACCUCUGCAGAGCUCUCAGAGGACAACAAGAAGGCCCUAAGGGCCAUCUGUGAGGUGCUGUACGCCAGGAUGAUUGACAUCCUGCACCGGACCAGUAACGACAUGCUAAACAUCCAGAAAGGAGUGAAUUCCGGGGCCAGGAACAUGGUUUAUAACACUCCAGAGGAUGGAAACCGUACCUCUGUAGCCAGUGAUAGCUUGCUAACACCUGGUGAAUGUCUUCUGAUGAGCCCCGAUACCCUGAAGCACAUCAUCCAGGGUGUCCUGCGCCAACUGGAGGCCUCAGAGUCCCUGCAGGCCACGGGGGAGAAUGACCCCUUCAAGUUGAUGAUGGAGCUCUUCAGCGAUGUCAAGCGUUCCCUGAUUUGUUCUGGCAUCUCUGUCCUAUUUUAUGUGGAGGAAAGCCUGCAGUUUCGUGGGGAGGAUGCAGUAGAUGCCAUUGUAAAGGCUGCCUCUGAGAUAUUGUCCUUGAAUUCAGAGGCCAACCAGAAUCAGUGUUUUGUCCCACAUUACGGUGGCCCUUCAUCCAUCUGGGCAAUGGGAAACACCAUCACCAACGUAAUCCAGGACUACGCCAAGGACUGGAGUUUUCAGGGAGAUUUUGGAGGCCGGAGGAGUGUUGACAGUGAGAGGUCAAGGUAUUCCUCAAAUAGUGAUGUCACCCUCACAGAGGAGCUCCUGAAUCAAAAUGAAUCCCUGGAAGAGGUGUUAGUCUCCGGUCCUGUGACGACUCCACACAACAAUGAGAUGUGGGACUCUGAUGGAUUGGAUUUGUGCAGCAUGACCUCCCUCUCUUCAGACUGCAUGGAGUGCACCUCCACACAGGGUAGUAAACUACCUACAACCGGUGUGAAUGUCUCCACUGAAAAGACAUCAAACGACAAAGAAGACAGGAAGUUAUCAAUGGAUGUAACUGUGGGGAAAAAAGACAGGAAGUCCAGAAGGUGGAAACUAGGAAAGUUCCUGAUCAAAAAGAACAAGGUGGCCCCCUUUGGUACU
ensembl:lncRNA